GUAAGAACCAACAUAUACUAAAACUGGAACCAUCGGAGAGGAUUAGCAUGCCCCUGUGCGAGGUUGGCAAUUAAAUUUGUGAAGUGUUCUACAUUUCA
rnacentral:snRNA from 1 species